UUGAAAUCGGGUGAUAUUAAUACUUGUAAAUACAUUAGAUUAGAACAAAAAAGUAAAAAAAGAACAUAAAAUAUUGCUAAAAGAUCAACUUUUAUCAAUGAUAUUAAUACUCAUGAAUAUAUUCAAUAUGAACAAGAAAGAAUUGUAUGAAAAGACAUCAUCAUCAACAACAACAACAAUCAUCUUCAGCUACAUAAAAAAAAUUGGAAAAUAUUUGAAAAUUUCAAAGGUUUCGG
rnacentral:lncRNA from 1 species